GAUGAACGCUGGCGGCGUGCCUAAUGCAUGCAAGUCGAGCGAACAGACGAGGAGCUUGCUCCUCUGACGUUAGCGGCGGACGGGUGAGUAACACGUGGAUAACCUACCUAUAAGACUGGGAUAACUUCGGGAAACCGGAGCUAAUACCGGAUAAUAUAUUGAACCGCAUGGUUCAAUAGUGAAAGACGGUUUUGCUGUCACUUAUAGAUGGAUCCGCGCCGCAUUAGCUAGUUGGUAAGGUAACGGCUUACCAAGGCAACGAUGCGUAGCCGACCUGAGAGGGUGAUCGGCCACACUGGAACGGAGACACGGUCCAGACUCCUACGGGAGGCAGCAGUAGGGAAUCUUCCGCAAUGGGCGAAAGCCUGACGGAGCAACGCCGCGUGAGUGAUGAAGGUCUUCGGAUCGUAAAACUCUGUUAUUAGGGAAGAACAAAUGUGUAAGUAACUAUGCACGUCUUGACGGUACCUAAUCAGAAAGCCACGGCUAACUACGUG
rnacentral:rRNA from 1 species